CCUACGGGAGGCUGCAGUGGGGAAUAUUGGGCAAUGGAGGCAACUCUGACCCAGCAACGCCGCGUGAAUGAUGAAGGUCUUCGGAUUGUAAAGUUCUGUGAUGGGGGAUGAACACAAUGACGGUACCCCAAUAGCAAGCCACGGCUAACUACGUGCCAGCAGCCGCGGUAAUACGUAGGUGGCAAGCGUUAUCCGGAAUGACUGGGCGUAAAGGGUGCGUAGGUGGUUUAGUAAGUUGGCGGUGUAAUUCCGGGGCUCAACCUCGGCGCUACCGCCAAAACUAUUAGACUAGAGUGCAGGAGGGGUAAGUGGAAUUCCUAGUGUAGCGGUGGAAUGCGUAGAUAUCACGCAGAACCCCGAUUGCGAAGGCAGCCUGCCAAGCCAUGACUGACGCUGAUGCACGAAAGCGUGGGGAUCAAACAGGAUUAGAUACCCUAGUAGUC
rnacentral:rRNA from 1 species